UACGAAGGGUGCGAGCGUUAUUCGGAAUCACUGGGCGUAAAGGGUGCGUAGACGGUAUGUUAAGUUUGUUGUUAAAGGCUCCGGCCUAACUGGAGUAUUGCGAUGAAAACUGGCAUGCUAGAGGGUGAGAGAGAGAAGUGGAAUUCCUGGAGGAGCGGUAAAAUGCAUGGAUCUCAGGAGGAACACCAAUGGCGAAGGCAGCUUCUUGGCUCAUACCUGACGUUGAGGCACGAAAGCGUGGGGAGCAAACAGG
rnacentral:rRNA from 1 species